rnacentral:rRNA from 1 species
GACGAACGCUGGCGGCGUGCCUAAUACAUGCAAGUUGAGCGCUGAAGGUUGGUACUUGUACCAACUGGAUGAGCAGCGAACGGGUGAGUAACGCGUGGGGAAUCUGCCUUUGAGCGGGGGACAACAUUUGGAAACGAAUGCUAAUACCGCAUAAAAACUUUAAACACAAGUUUUAAGUUUGAAAGAUGCAAUUGCAUCACUCAAAGAUGAUCCCGCGUUGUAUUAGCUAGUUGGUGAGGUAAAGGCUCACCAAGGCGAUGAUACAUAGCCGACCUGAGAGGGUGAUCGGCCACAUUGGGACUGAGACACGGCCCAAACUCCUACGGGAGGCAGCAGUAGGGAAUCUUCGGCAAUGGACGAAAGUCUGACCGAGCAACGCCGCGUGAGGGAAGAAGGUUGUCGGAUCGGAAAACUCUGUUGGUAGAGAAGAACGUUGGUGAGAGUGGAAAGCUCAUCAAGUGACGGUAACUACCCAGAAAGGGACGGCUAACUACGUG